CGGACGGGUGAGUAACGCGUGGGUAACCUGCCUCAUACAGGGGGAUAACGAUUGGAAACGAUUGCUAAUACCGCAUAAGCGCACAGUACCACAUGGUGCAGUGUGAAAAACUCCGGUGGUAUGAGAUGGACCCGCGUCUGAUUAGCUAGUUGGUGAGGUAACGGCCCACCAAGGCAACGAUCAGUAGCCGACCUGAGAGGGUGACCGGCCACAUUGGGACUGAGACACGGCCCAA
rnacentral:rRNA from 1 species